UAGGGAAUCUUCCGCAAUGGGCGAAAGCCUGACGGAGCAACGCCGCGUGAGUGAUGAAGGUCUUAGGAUCGUAACACUCUGUUAUUAGGGAAGAACAAACGUGUAAGUAACUGUGCACGUCUUGACGGUACCUAAUCAGAAAGCCACGGCUAACUACGUGCCAGCAGCCGCGGUAAUACGUAGGUGGCAAGCGUUAUCCGGAAUUAUUGGGCGUAAAGCGCGCGUAGGCGGUUUUUUAAGUCUGAUGUGAAAGCCCACGGCUCAACCGUGGAGGGUCAUUGGAAACUGGAAAACUUGAGUGCAGAAGAGGAAAGUGGAAUUCCAUGUGUAGCGGUGAAAUGCGCAGAGAUAUGGAGGAACACCAGUGGCGAAGGCGACUUUCUGGUCUGUAACUGACGCUGAUGUGCGAAAGCGUGGGGAUCAAACA
rnacentral:rRNA from 1 species